GAGGGCGGCGGGCUCGGCCCGCAGCGCAUCGUUCAAAAGAAACCAAGCGUCGAGAGACAACGAAAUGGAGGAAAAAUGGCCGAGCCCCGGCCGGCUGAGAAAGGCCGGUGGGGGACGCCAGGCCCUGGCGAGCUGCUGGCCCUGAUCCGCAGAGAUGCUGAGGCAUCGGUGCCAAACACAUCCCUGCUCCUGGGGGAAAGCAAGAUGGGGCCGGAGGAUGGAUGGCUGCUUCCCCUGCAGUGCCCCUCCAUCUUACAGAUUUAGGAGCAGUCAGGGCUUCCCCUUGUAGUAUAGAAAUUUAAAUUCGCAUUGCGCUGAUGUGGGUAAAAUAUUUAAGCUCAAGAUGCCGGUUCUCCCCUCACUCCACGUUACCUGUCCACCAUCACCAGGCUCCCUGCAGAAAUCCAGGGUGCAGUGGCUGUGUGUGGAAACCUGCUUGGUGCAGAGUGGGAAUUUCACCAGAGCAAAACCCGUACACAAAAAUAAAGCCUGGUCUGUCCUAUUAAAAAAAAAAAAAAAAUCACGUACAGGAUUAGUAAGAGCAGAUGCAACUUAAAAACCAAGAGCUAAAUUGAUUUAUAGCCAUGGUUACUCGAAAUGCUCAGAGUUUAAUCUAUUCAUAGAAAUGCUCUAGAAAUCCCACAGGAUUCCAAUGGAAUAAAAAGGAGCAGUGCUCUUAGGCAGGCAUUAUUUAUACACCUUGCUCCUGAAGCAACAGCUUUUCCAUGCAGUUGGAAGAGUUGUGGGUGGCAGCACACAAUGGUGAAAAGAUAGCAAAUAUUGAACAGCUUUCUUAAAUUAGCAUCUUCCUUACAUUUAACCUUUUAAACUGAUUGUUUUGUUUUACCUCACAGGCCCAAGUAUCCUUGUGGUUAACACUUUAUGAGCUGGAUGACAGAUCCUACCCAAAAUGGGCUCAGCAUGAAGAAUUUUUCCAUUUAAAAUACUCUAAACAGAGCCGGUAGUUUUAGGAAAUUAUAUUUUCUAAUCCUUUUAGUGAACUCACGAGAUGCUUCACUAUUUCACAGCCACAGAACUGAGUGAGAAGGGCACUGAGGAUUUCUGGAGCCCAAGAGUUUCUGUGGGAAACAUCAGCACCUGCAGAGCCAAAGCUGAUAUUUUGGAUGUCGAUGACGUUGUGACAAAGAGCAGCCAGCAGUGGAUGUGGUGGUUUAGCUGGAGAAAAAUUCAGGAUUCAGUCAAGAAAGAAAGGAAACAAUUCCUAAUGAAGAAUCAUGUUCCCUUCUGCCUCUCCUGUCCACGAUGCAGGCCUUGGACAUGACAGGGGCAUUUCCUUCCUCACCCAGCACGGCUCCAGGAUCCAUCUGAGCAAGCCAUGGCUCUGCAGUGAUCGUUGGUACAGGGCUGCAAAGUGGGAGACACCAACCCUGCCCAGCAGAGCGCCAGGAAAUCACCAAUCAGGUGCUUUAUGCCUUUAGAUUUCACAUUUUUAGGAAAGGGAGGGGGAAAGCCAGCCUGGCUCCUGCUAAGCAGCAGCAGCAGCAGCACACAAAGCAAUCGUUAUGCCAAGAUUUAGCUGUUAAAUCCCUCAAGAUCUGGUGCUCACAGAGCAUAAACAACCUUUGCCUCCCAGCCUGGCCGAGUUUACCUCCAGGUUUCCCAGCACAGGCACACAGACCCUCCCAUACCCAUCCUCUCCCCAGCCCUUUGCUCAGGCUGCCGUGCCAACAAGAAAGCCAGUUGCCAUGGCAUUUUUUCCCCCUACAGACAGAUGUCCAUUAAAAACCAAGUCAGCCUCAGGUUUGCUUCACAGAGCAGCUUUCAGUUGUUAUUACCAGCCUGCAAGGAAUUUCCACUGCAGCCCUUCACCUCAGAUGUUUCAAUGCACUUCAGGAUUAAUCCCUGGGGAUUAGAAGGAAACUACUACAGAGCAGGUACAGGUAUGUUCAAAGGACAAAUUUAGGAUUGUGAUUGUGGUUUAUGUUUUUGGCAGAUGACAACCACGUGACUGUGUUUGGAAAGGGUUGAAUUUUUUACCUCUGGUGCUCUUUCCCCUGUUCACUGUGCUAAAAUCAUCAGGCAAAUUGGAAAUCAGAUGUGAAACUUUCCCCUCCUCCAGGAUGUCUCACCUGGGGCUCAGAUCUGGGAUUUUGACUUCAGGAGGAACCUGCCUGUCCUGGACAGGGGCAUCAUCCCAGGCUCCAUCCAUGGGGAAGGGAAAGCCCAGGCAGCUUCUGUGAGCAGGGCCAAGCACUUCCAGCAAUGUCUUCCACCUUGGCCACACUUACAUUUAAGAAUGGAAAAAGGGAUGAAUGGAUCCAAACUCCCCCUCAGCCCAUCCUGGGGGUUAAGGGCCUGUGGGAAGUGUCCCUUAGGAAAAACUGAGGAGCUUCCUACUGCAGUGCUGGCAGCACAUCCCAGCAUCUCUGCAGGGAUGGGUUUGGAGGGAACAGGUAUUGUUAUUUGGACUCCAACAGUGCUGAAUGUGUGAGAAUUAGACACUGAAAUUUAACUGUACAGUGGAAUUAGUUUUCCUUACUUAGCACUGCAGUGCUAGAAAUCCUUGCAGAUGUCCAGGGAGAGAUCUCUCCUCUCACAUCUGGCUCUGAACCUGGCAGGGCUUCCACAGCAUUCCUUGUUCAAGCUGUGCCACUUGGGAAACCUCAGCCUUCUGAGAUUUUGGAGCCACCAUUGCAGCUCAGAGCCCUGCAUCCAGGCUGGCUCCCAGGGAGGUUUCUCUGGAGCCUGGUGCCACAAUUGCAGCUGCAGGAACAGCAGCUCCUGGUGGCUCUGGGAAGCAGCAGGGUCUGAGCACACCCUGGCUGCAGGGUCCCGAGGGAGCACUCCCUUCCAGCCCUCAGUCACUUCCCAAGGCAACACAUUUGGAUUUCUCCU